rnacentral:lncRNA from 1 species
AUUAUAUGUCAAUUAUACCUUAAUAACACUGCUAAAAUUAAAAGGAAGAGAACAAUUUCCGCUUUAUUUAUCUCCCUGGGUUGUUGUGUCCCUAGGAUUACGUAAUAAUCAUAAAAGCACUUGGAAUAAUAAAAACUAGAUAAACGGGACGUAUCCUAUUGCCGAUGACUUUCUGCCUCUAUAAAUAGCCGCUGCCUUACGUGGGAGUGGAGAGUAAGAGCUGAAAGAUGCAUGAAAGAAAAUAGGAAGAUCUCCCUGAAAAAGUGACAAGGCAGAUGGGAAGGGGCCUGUAUUAGUCAGGGUUCUCCAGAGAAACAACCAAUAGUGAGCACAUGUGAGCGUGUGUGUGAUUAUCAUAAAGAGUUGGCUCGCACAGUCAUGGAGGCUGAGAAGUCCCAGGAUCUGCAGUCGGCAAGCUGGAGACCCGGGAGAGCCGAUGGUGCAGCUCCGUCUGAGUCCAAAGGCCUGAGCAGCAGGAGAGCCGGCGGCGCGGACGCAGCCCAAACGCCCAGGCUGGAGACCCGGAAGAGCCGAGGUUUCACUUUAAGUCCCAGGCAGAGUGAAGACAAUGUCCCAGCUCGAAGGCAGACAGGCAGGAGGAGUUCCCUCUUCCUCAGCCUAUUUGUUCUACUCUAGGCCUUCGACUGAUUGCUGAGACCCUCUCAUUAGGGAGGACAGUCUGCUUUGCUAAAUCCACCAAUUUAAAUGUUAAUCUCACCCAAAACGCUCUCACGGACAGAAGACUGUUGUCUAAAUAUCUGGGCAUCCUGUGGUCCAAUCCAUGUGACAUGUAAAAUUAACCAUCACAGGGACUAUUACUUACUGAGCUCCUGUUUAUAGCAAACCUCUCUUAUCCCAACCUGUAUUGGUUACAGAUAAACCCCAAAGGGACAAAGAGGUGGUAUCACUUGCCCAAGAACACAGGGCUGCCAAAAUGACAGAGCUGGAUUUAAAUUUCAUCUCACCUGAGUCUACUGCAGCAAGCUCCACUUCCUAGGAUCCCAAAAUUCAGAGCUGAAUGAGCCCUUACAGAUUAUCUAGUCCCCAUCCGCCCUUUUACGGAAAUCUAGAGGUGAAGUGACAAACUGAGGUUGCACAGCAAGUCACUGAGAGAGUGGGGCUCCUGCUUCCGUGUCAUCUGGGGCUCCUUCUGCCACACCGCCCGUCCCGACUGCAUCUUUGGCCACUUCUCCCAGUCUAGCCUGGGAGGGGAGAAAAGCCUGCUCUGAGAUGACGUUCUGCCCUCAGGGCUCAACAGCUGGAGAGAAUGUUCCCACAGAUUGCAUCUUUUCUUCCCGGCUCCUCCUUACAACGUGGUCUGAUGGAAAAUGCAGAAGCCUCAUCCUUUUAGCAUUUAAUGCAGAGCGACUCUGAGAGGGAGGUAUUAGCGCUAACUCCAUCUUGUAGAGUCAAGUCUCUGCUUCCUGAGGACUCGAACAUCUCAAAGAGCUCUUCCAAGCAACGGCCUCAUUUUUUCAGAUACUACAGCCAAGACCCAGUGAGAGGAAGUACUUUGCUUGUGGUCAUACAACCAGUAAGUGGAACGGCUGAAAUCUGAUGGACUGAAGUUCCUGCUCUUUUCUUUAGGUCUCUGCAUGAAACAGCUCUUCCCUUAAGAGAAAUCAGCACACGAGCAUUAAAAUAGGCCCUUUGGAAGUCAGAGGACACAGUCGCUCCAGGUUUUAACUGCUCUAUAAAUGCUCCCCUGCUUCCGAGGGUGCAGAUCUGAGCGUCUCCCGCGUAUCUCACAGAGGACACGUAUUCUGACACUGAGGAGAAGAUGAAAGCAACUCCGCGUCCAAGACUCAUAAAGUUAGCCCCUUUGCAUAGAUGUACAGCUUUCCCUGCAGUUGGAAACUCACUGAAAGCCAGACCUGCUGUGCAGAGGAGAGGAGAAGCGGGCUGAGCUCAGCUUCCUUCUCCGCUGCCCCCACGGCGGGGACCCGACCAGCUCCUGAUGCUGCAGCUUCCACAGCUCAGAUUCACCGCAGGGAACUACAUAGCCUUUCUCCGCUCUCAGAAUCCCGACUGUCCACAGAGUCCGUCCUUUCUUGCUGGGCUCCUGCUUCUCUCUCUUCUCUGGAGCUGCCAGCUUCCUCUCUUCCCUCGGUAGGGCUCCCAUCUCCUCAUCCCCCACCCUGGAAGCUGAGGAGCCACCAUCAAACAGCUCCACAAACACUCUCUUACUUGCUGCCCCUAAAGUCAAGCCCAUGGCCCUUCUGUUACAUGAGUCUCACUGUGGAAUCUAAUCCAAGGGGAUAACUGAAAGUAGGUUGGCAUUACUGGGAGAAGAAUGGAUGGGGGCCACUGCAGAUGAAGGUGGACAGGAGGGCAGGGACCACCCCAUGCAGGAACUCGCAGGCCUUGUUAAGGACUUUGGACUUAUCUCAAAAGCAAACGGAAGCCACUGAGUGAUUUUAAGCAGGAGCACAAGAUGAGAUGUGAGUUUUAGGAAAAUGGCUCUUGUGGCCAAGGGGAAGAUUGGUGAGGAGAAAAAAGGGACAAGACUAGAGACCAAGGGCAAUAAUCUGGCCUGCUUUGUCAGGUAAGGAGCUCCCUGUCACUGGAGGAUGCAAACAGAGAUAGAGAAGAUGGAUUCCUGUGAUGGAUACACAGUUGGACUAGCUCAUGCCUGAGGUUCCUUUCAGCUCAGAGACACCAAGAUUCUUUGGGAGAAAACUUACCUGCCCUGGUCCAACCUCCACUCCCCAAGUUCACAGGCUGCGAAACUGAGACACACCAUGGACUGGAGGCGGGUCUGCGACUGUGGUGUCUCAGUCUGAGUCUGAGUAGGUUUCUGUCUCCACAGCAUACGUGAGGUCUCUCAGCCAGUGCCCCCAUUUGGGGACAAGGGGUGGUUCCAUUUUGUUGUGCAACAGCUCAUAAAUCCAGGAAUUAAAAACAAAGGGGAUUCUGUUGCAGGUAAAUACCAUUUGAAAUACAAUCUCUGUGAGGGCUUUAUGUUUGUCACGAAUUUUAUAAAUUGUUGCAGUAAUUAACAAGGCAUAAAACAGGCCUCUACCCCAUCCGGAAAGGCCUUCCUGAAUGCCCCAUUGUCGGACAUGCCACAUGGGCUCCCAGAGUGGCGGUGCCCUCGGUGAUGCUGGUGUGGGAUGAGGGUGGGGGCAUGCCACCCUGGGAAAAACGCCUCCAUUCACGGGAGGCAGUUUAAUGGGCUCAUUUUAGGUGGCUUAGAGAAUGACACCGAGAUUUACCUCCUGGGUCCUUCCCUCAAUAAAUUAAAAUGAGGCCUGGGGUCUGGGGGACAGUGGGACCUUCCUCUGCAUUUCAGUCAGAAGCUGGGCAACCAGAACAGUUUUCUCCCUUGCUGUGACUGCAUGCAUUUGGGGAAUUUUCCCACAUUUUCUCUUGUUUUCUUUCUCUCUGGGAAAACUGUCAAACACUGUAUGGAAAAUAAAGACCUCAAUUCAUGAACACAG